CCAUGACCAGACCGUCUUCCAUCCUUCGCAAUAACACGUCACUCUCUGCAUCUCCCCUCUCUCCUUGCUCCCACCCCGCCCCCCAUAGCCGCACUCUCUCUUCUUCCACCGCUAGAUGCUUGGAGCUUCCCCAUGCCUAUAAUUGGACUCUUCCAACAAAAAAAUUUUGAAAAACAGCAUGCCCUUCCCCUCCACUGUUCUUGACAGGCCCAACAUUGGUCGCACUUCAUCCUUCAGGUCACCCUUCAUUGGCAGAGACCCUCCUUCACUACCAUGGUCUUUUCAUUAAGGAACAAGAAGCCCUAAUUAUAAUGUGAGUGAUGGUGGUGAUGUGAUUCUCCAGCUUGGCUCUUUGCUCCACAGUAAGAGGAGAUGCCAGAUGUUGCAGCGGCAGAGGGUACUUUGGUUUUGCCGUAGGAUGCCCCUCCUCUUCCAACUCUUAGCAGAAUGAAGAUGUUGGUGAGGGAACCCUUCAGAGGCUACUAUUAAGGAGCUAACUCUAUAUGGUGAUGAUCUAUUGGUUGAGGAACUGGUUGCACGCGAGAUAGGUUGUGUAUAUAAUGACUGUGCCUAAGGGGCACCUUGAAGAUGAUAGUAGUCAUCUUCCUCUUUGAUUAUUUGUGUACAAACAUGAUGUUAUCCUAGGGAUAAUAUUGUAAUUAUGUUCUGAUAGGAGUAAACCAUCUUUUGUGUAAAUAUGGCACAUAUCAAUGGAAUUCACCCAUUGUGUAAGAUACUAGUAAGAAGAAUGAAGGAACUGGUUACAGACUGA